UGGGGAAUCUUGCACAAUGGGGGCAACCCUGAUGCAGCGACGCCGCGUGAGCGAUGAAGCCCUUCGGGGCGUAAAGCUCUUUCGACCGGAACGAUAAUGACGGUACCGGGGGAAGAAGCUGCGGCUAACUACGUGCCAGCAGCCGCGGUAAUACGUAGGGGGCAAGCGUUGUCCGGAUUUACGGGGUGUAAAGGGCGCGCAGGCGGGAUAAAAAGUCAGUGGUGAAAUCCUACAGCUUAACUGUAGAACUGCCUUUGAUACUUUUAUUCUUGAGUUCGGGAGAGAGAGACGGAAUUCCAGGUGUAGUGGUGAAAUACGUAGAUAUCUGGAAGAACACCAGUUGCGAAGGCGGUCUCUUGGUCCGACACUGACGCUGAGGCGCGAAAGCGUGGGGAGCAAACA
rnacentral:rRNA from 1 species